rnacentral:rRNA from 1 species
AUUGAACGCUGGCGUCAGGCCUAACACAUGCAAGUCGAACGAGUGGCGGACGGGUGAGUAAUGUCUGGGAAACUGCCUGAUGGAGGGUGAUAACUACUGGAAACGGUAGCUAAUACCGCAUACCAUCAGAUGUGCCCAGAUGGGAUUAGAUUGUUGGUGGGGUAACGGCUCACCAGGGCGACGAUCCCUAGCUGGUCUGAGAGGAUGACCAGCCAAACUGGAACUGAGACACGGUGCAGACUCCUACGGGAGGCAGCAGUGGGGAAUAUUGCACAAUGGGCGAAAGCCUGAUGCAGCCAUGCCGCGUGUAUGAAGAAGGCCUUCGGGGUGUAAAGUACUUGCAGCGGGGAGGCGUUACCCGCAGAAGAAGCACCGGCUAACUCCGUGCCAGCAGCCGCGGUAAUUC